AACGAACGCUGGCGGCAUGCCUAACACAUGCCAGUCGAACGAGACCUUCGGGUCUAGUGGCGCACGGGUGCGGAACGCGGGGGAAGCUGCCCGUCGGCUGGGAAUAACUGAGAGAAAUUUCAGCUAAUACCUUAUAAUGUCUUCGGACCAAAGAUUUAUCGCCGAGGGAUGAGCCCGCGUAGCAUAAGGUGGUUGGUGGGGUAAUGGCCUACCAAGCCGACGAUCCUUAGCUGGUCUGAGAGGCUGAUCAGCCACACUGAGGCUGAGACGCGGCCCAGACUCCUACGGGAGGCAGCAGUGCGGAAUAUUGGACUAUCGGCGAAAGCCUGAUCCAGCAAUGCCGCGUGAGUGAUGAAGGCCUUAGGGUUGUAAAGCUCUUUUACCCGGGAUGGUAAUGACGGUACCGGGAGAAUAAGCACCGGCUAACUCCGUG
rnacentral:rRNA from 1 species